UCGCGGAUUCCAGAGAUGGUUUCCUUCAGUUCGGCUGGAUGAGUGACAGGUGCUGCAUGGCUGUCGUCAGCUCGUGUCGUGAGAUGUUGGGUUAAGUCCCGCAACGAGCGCAACCCCGUCCUUAGUUGCUACCAUUUAGUUGGGCACUCUAAGGAAACCGCCGGUGAUAAGCCGGAGGAAGGUGGGGAUGACGUCAAGUCCUCAUGGCCCUUACGCGCUGGGCUACACACGUGCUACAAUGGCGGUGACAGAGGGCUGCAAACCCGCGAGGGUGAGCUAAUCUCCAAAAGCCGUCUCAGUUCGGAUUGUUCUCUGCAACUCGAGAGCAUGAAGGCGGAAUCGCUAGUAAUCGCGGAUCAGCACGCCGCGGUGAACUACGUUCCCAGGCCUUGUACACACCGCCCGUCACACCAUGGGAGUUGGAUUGACCCGAAGGCAGUGAGCUAACCGCAAGGAGGCAGCUGACCACGGUCGGUUCAGCGACUGGGGUGAAGUCGUAACAAGGUAGGCGUAGUGCU
rnacentral:rRNA from 1 species